rnacentral:lncRNA from 10 species
CGCCACGGGGUGCUCCCUCCCUCCCGCCCAAGUCCGGCCACCUGGUCUUCCCCUCGGCCCCGGCCGUCUCAGACUCAUCAAAAUGAAACCAGGAGGCUUUUGGCUGCAUCUCACACUGCUCGGAGCCUCCCUGCCGGCUGCGCUGGGAUGGAUGGACCCAGGAACCAGCAGAGGCCCGGAUGUGGGUGUGGGGGAGUCACAGGCAGAGUGAGAUCCUAAGCUUCAUAAGGACUGGGGCUGGGGCUGCCUUGGCACUGCUACAUCUCCAGGACAAUAAAUAUCUACUGAAUGAGUGAACACAUGAACAAACGAAGGGAUGAUGAAAUGAAUUGCUCAGGAGGCCCGUCAAGAGCUCUGCUGAGAGACCUGGGUGAUGGGGCUGAGGGUCUUGGGGAGGGUCAAGGAGGUGGGAAUUGCAAGCUAGGACCUGAUGGGAAGGCAUCCACAAAGCUGAGCCACAGAGGCUGUGAGGGAUGGGAGUGGAAGUGAAGAGGGGCCAGAGGAGAUGCUCAGGAGGACAGAGGGAACACUAGCUAGCAGGAAGAUCCAAGGGGAGGGGACCUAUUGCUGUGUCAGAUGACAGUUUCUGGUUGGAAGUCUUGGAUUAAGGGAUCUUCAAGUGUCCCUUUGGAGAAGAGGGUGUGCCUGACCUUAAGCACUGGCCACUUUGGGUGUUUUCAGCUUAUCCCAAUCAGACGCCACUUGCACCCAGUCCUGCUCCCAGCCGGCCCUUUCCCAGCUUGCUCACCUUCUCAGAGGCUCCAGCCUGAUCAAUCACCGCUGGCCCCACCAUGACUCUGGCACAUUUUGCAUCUUUAUGUCAGACCGUCUGUAUCUGUGACUCCCUAAUUCUGUGCAAAACAAAGAAUGAAAAAUAGACUCAGACAUGAGGACUGUACUGGAGGGCACACUUUCUUCCUUUUUUGUCUUUUAAUUUUCUAGGCACAGGUUAUUCUAAACCUCAUCUUGGGCUUGCAGUUGGCAGAAAGAAAAGUAGCAGAUUGGAAUAUCAUGUUAAACAGACACCUACAAGACUGUCAUGAUU